GACGAACGCUGGCGGCGUGCUUAACACAUGCAAGUCGAACGGAAAGGCCCUGCUUUUGUGGGGUGCUCGAGUGGCGAACGGGUGAGUAACACGUGAGUAACCUGCCCUUGACUUUGGGAUAACUUCAGGAAACUGGGGCUAAUACCGGAUAGGAGCUCCUGCUGCAUGGUGGAGGUUGGAAAGUUUCGGCGGCUGGGGAUGGACUCGCGGCUUAUCAGCUUGUUGGUGGGGUAGUGGCUUACCAAGGCUUUGACGGGUAGCCGGCCUGAGAGGGUGACCGGCCACAUUGGGACUGAGAUACGGCCCAGACUCCUACGGGAGGCAGCAGUGGGGAAUAUUGCACAAUGGGCGGAAGCCUGAUGCAGCAACGCCGCGUGCGGGAUGACGGCCUUCGGGUUGUAAACCGCUUUCGCCUGUGACGAAGCGUGAGUGACGGUAAUGGGUAAAGAAGCACCGGCUAACUACGUG
rnacentral:rRNA from 1 species